CUACAUGCAGAUAAAGAAGGGUGAAGGCAGCAAGAAGGCAGCCAUCUGCAAACCAUGAAGAGAGACCUGAGAAGAAACCCAACCUACCAACACCUGGAUCUUGGAAUUCCAGCUUCCAGAACUUGCAGCAAGACAAACACUGUGACACUGAGAUUUACAUCAGAGAAAAGGUUUAUUCAUGAGGCAGCCGAGUGAGGAGACAGGAAACAAGAUGUCAAAUCUGCCUCCCAAAGUUGGACCUUCAGAUGAGACUCCUGUCUGGCACCUUGAUCACAACUUUGUGAGAGACCCUCAGGCAGAGCACCCAGUAAAGCACCCAGAUUUCUGACCCACAACAACUAUAAGAUAUGCUAAAGAAAUGCACAUAUGCAACAUUUUUAGUCAUGACACCUUUUAAAAGUUACUGAUAAAUGCUAACUUUAGUAUGAUAAAAGUUUUGAAGCUCCUUGGUCCUGGCUUCACAUACUUCCCUACCCAGCAAGCAUGCAUGACUGACCACAUCAGUGCUCUCAGGACACUCUCCUGCUCUGUCGUCAUCAAACCUCCAGAUUAACUUCAAAGUUUACUCUUGAGGCAAGGAAGUAGAUGGUGAGCUAGAAUUUAACGAGAUAGGAUCAAUCACUCAAGAUGGGGGGGGGGUCUGUGUUCUUCUCAAUAUCCUGUAAGUUAUCAAAAAUGUAACAAGCUUAAACCUGAAUUCAUUACUCUCAGCUCCCCAAAGCUUACCACUGCUGUGUUUAUUUUAUUGUUGGUAAUUGGUGCCAAAUUUGCUUGAGUUGCAGGAGUGUAAAAUAAAGACAUGCUGCCAGAAUUAUACAGUAUUAUCACUCAUACUAUUGAGGGAAUGGUUCAUAUUUUGUUUUUGAUAUCCCAUUUCACACAACCCACCUGAUAUCUGUCCCAUUAGCUUAUCAAUUUAGAGUUUAGGGUUGUUUUUUUUUUUAAGACUUUAAGCUCCACAAGCAGGAGGGACAGUGUAUGUCAUAUAUUGCUUUAUUUCCAAUGUCUAGACCCGGAUGUGGCACACAGUUUUUGCUCAACAGAUAUUUGUUAAAUGUAGCAAAUAUAUUACAAUAAUAUAAUUGAGAAACACUAUCAGCCUGGAUGUUUUAUAUUUCCUUUUGAUUUGCAGAAUGUAUGUUACUUCUCUCUCCAGUGUGCAGAGGACUUUCUAAUCUUGUAUGUAGGGUAUACCACAGGCCCAUAGGGGAUCCGCAGCUGUAUCUUCUCAGCUUUGGUGUUGAACUUCCUCGAUUCCUUCCAUAGUUUCUUAAUUUCCCUCAAAUUACAUUAGUACAUGGUUAACUCACAUACAGAAGUUAAAUUUUAUUUUUUAUUUCUUUUUUUUAAGAACUUUUAUUGAGAUACAGUUAACAGACAAUAAACUGCAUAUAUUUAGAGCAUACAAUUUGGUAUCCCAAUCUCCUAGUU